AUCCCACAUCAAAAAGUUAGGAAGAACUCAAAUUAAUAACCUAACAUCACAACUGAAAGAACUAGAGAAGCAAGACAAAACCCCAAAGCUAGAGGAAGACAAGAAAUAACUGAAAAUCUGAGCUGAACUGAAAGAAACCGAGACAUGAAAAAAAGAAAUUCAAAAGAUCUAUGAAUUCCGGGUGAUGGCAUCAGCUGAGAAGGGAAGGAAGCCCAUGAGAGGACACUGAAGAAGGAGUGAGCAGACAAUAAGAAGCCCACAGAAGACAGAGAAGGAACAACUAGAGGGAGAAGCCAAGACACUACCCAAAGCAGUGCUUCACUACAGUGGCAGACAGACCUGAAAAUUUUCAUCUGAAGCAGCAGAGUGAACUGCAGAGGCAGGUCACCAACCAGUGUGGAGGCUAAAAGCGGGCCUCUUUGGGGAUUCCAGGUGGAAGUGUUGGACAUCUGUAGUAUUCCUGGUCUCGAAUCAUCCUGAUAUUCUUCAUUUUGUUAUUCACAUUGGACUAGGAGAUAGAAUCUCACUAUGUUGACCAGGCUGGUCUUGAACUCUUGGCACCCAAGCGAUCCUUUUGCCUGGAAUCCCAAAGUGUCAGAUUUACUGAAGAAUAUUUCAUUGUAAUUACUUUUUAUACUUUAUAGGUCAAGAGCUCUGUUUUAAAUACAAAAUUUAUUGAAUAUACUUUUUCAAACAAAGUUUCAUGUUCUAAUCAUUGUCUGAUUUCAGCAUUAAAUGAAACACAGUAAAGAAA
rnacentral:lncRNA from 10 species